AAAAUGUGAUGUUGAACCUAAACUUAACCUUAACCACCAUACUAACUUUAUAUUUAGUCCAAAAAGUUCGUUUUUGUUUUCAUGAAUGAUUUAUUACGAUAUAGCCAUUUUGACUUUGGCUGUGCAAUCUAGUGCAAACCUGUAAAAUGUCUUAUCCACCAAUUGGUCAUCCCCAGGAAGUGGAUUGAAGAACCCACCUGAUCGAUUUGAACCAGUAGUUGUACAGUAUAAUUUUAAUUGCGCAGGACUAAAAGUGGCUGCUAGAUUUAAGCGGUUUGUUGUCUGCGGGAUGUCCCGGAAUUAAACCGGCCGUAUUGGAAUUUGAUUUAGUCUAUGGAGGUGCGGAACGGGAAAACGCUGCCCUUUCAUAAUAUCUUAAACGGGAGGGGAUUUACUGUCGAGUGUCGACUAAUCCAUUGAAGAGACUGCAUGUCUCGUUUCGCGACAUCGUUUUCUUGUGAUGUUUUGGUCAACAGUUUGUGACAUUGUUGCAGUCCCCAGCGCGGUCACAGGUAAACUGGCGCCAACGGUUCAAGAAGAACAACUGACCAUAUUAAUCUCCGAACUAUUCACAAUUUUUCUGCAACUACAGAGACCGUCGUUGUACAGUCAGUCUGAAUGCUAUCAGAUAGCCGAGGGAAGAUGUGGAGUACAGCCCGGUCGGCGAGGGGCUGGGGAUGAGCGAGUUCUGGCUCCAUGUGUAGAUGCCGAGGGUCGCCGUGAUCGCUGCCCAUGUUAUUGCCUUUGGUCUCACUGUGCUGAUUUCACUACUGUCUGGAACAAGUCUCUUUUCCUGGCAUCCUGUUUGUAUGUCUAGUGCAGUAAGUGAUCCUAAUGGCAUAAACAUGACACACACAAACACUGGCUGAAGUGUACUACUAUACCAAAAUACCAGCUACGUGUAGUUUUAGUUAAGGUAAUGUCACUGUGGCAGAUGAAGCUCUAUGACCCAUGUCAUGCCUCUCCGCUGUAAAGGAAUUAUACCAACACUGUCUGUCUAUCUUUUAAGAUACCAAGUAUGCAUCCUAGGAUGUGGACUCGCACAUACAGUAGAGUACAGUAGAUACAGUAGCCAAUAGACACAGACAUACAUACUUGGUAUCUUAAAAUAUAGACAUACAGGUAACUGCCAAAAUGAAGAUAACACCAACAUAAAGUGUCUUAAUAGGGCGUUGGACCACCAAGAGCCACAACAACUUCACUGUUUUGUUCGAUUACAUUACAUUUUUCAAACAAUAUAGACAUAUACAGACAACAACAAAAAAACCAUAGACGCACACAAACAUCAAUGACAUCACAUCUGUCCAGACCCACAUGUUCCCACCGCAUCUCCAGUGACAUAGAACGUGUGAACAUGUAG